GCUGUGAUGGCCGAGUGGUUAAAGUGUUGGAUUUGAAAUUCCAUGUACAGGUUCAAAUCCUGUUCACAGCA